rnacentral:rRNA from 1 species
GGGGAACCUGCGGAGGGAUCUUACCGAGUUACAACUCCCAAACCCAAAUGUGAACAUACCUACUGUUGCUUCGGCGUGCUCGCCCCGGCGUCCGGCUGGCCCUGUGCCGGCCGCGACCCGGAGCCAGGCGACCGCCGGAGAAAAAAACCAAAACCCUUUGUAUUAUCAGCAUCUUCUGAAUCCGCCGCAAGGCAAAACAAAUGAAUCAAAACUUUCAACAACGGAUCUCUUGGUUCUGGCAUCGAUGAAGAACGCAGCGAAAUGCGAUAAGUAAUGUGAAUUGCAGAAUUCAGUGAAUCAUCGAAUCUUUGAACGCACAUUGCGCCCGGGAGCAUUCUCCCGGGCAUGCCUGUUCGAGCGUCAUUUCAACCCUCGACCUCCCCUUGGAGAGGCCGGCCGUUGGAGAUCGGCAGCGAUUGCCGGCUCCCAAAUUCAGUGGCGACCCGCCGCGGGGACCCCUGCGCAGUAACAUACACUCGCACCGGAAACCAGACGUGUCACGCCGUAAAACCCCAACUUUCUGAACGUUGACCUCGGAU